rnacentral:rRNA from 1 species
GACGAACGCUGACGGUGUGCUUUAGGCAUGCAAGUCGAACGAGAAAGCCCUUCGGGGUGAGUAAAGUGGCGAACGGGUGAGUAACACGUGGGCAACCUGCCCCUCGCAGGGGGACAACCAGGGGAAACUCUGGUUAAUACCCCGUACGUUCUCAGGGUCGCAUGGCCCUGGGAGGAAAGGUAGUUUUGGCCAUCCGGGAGGGAUGGGCCCGCGGUGCAUUAGCUAGUUGGUGGGGUAACGGCUCACCAAGGCAACGAUGCAUAGGUGGUCUGAGAGGAUGAUCAGCCACACUGGGACUGAGACACGGCCCAGACUCCUACGGGAGGCAGCAGCCAGGAAUCUUGGGCAAUGGGCGAAAGCCUGACCCAGCCACACCGUGUGAGCGAUGAAGGCCUUCGGGUCGUAAAGCUCUGUUGAUAGGGACGAAGGAGAAGGGUUAAUAGCCCUAACCUGACGGUACCUUWGGAGUAAGCCCCGGCUAACUACGUGCCAGCAGCCGCGGUAAUACGGAGGGUGCAAGCGUUGUCCGGAUUUAUUGGGUGUAAAGGGUGUGUAGGUGGCUCGGUAAGUCUGUCGUGAAAUCCUGAAGCUCAACCGCGGAAGUGCCAUGGAUACUGGCGGGCUAGAGAAUGGUAGAGGCGGGUGGAAUGGCCGGUGUAGCGGUGAAAUGCACAGAUACCGUCCGGAACACCAAUAGCGUAGGCGGCUGCCUGGGCCACUUCUGACACUGAGGCACGAAAGCUAGGGGAGCGAACAGGAUUAGAUACCCUGGUAGUCCUAGCCGUAAACGAUGGACACUAGGUGUGGGGGGAGUCGAAUCCCUCUGUGCCGCAGCCAACGCGUUAAGUGUCCCGCCUGGGGAGUACGGCCGCAAGGCUAAAACUCAAAAGAAUUGACGGGGGCCCGCACAAGCAGCGGAGCAUGUUCUUUAAUUCGAUGCAACGCGAAGAACCUUACCUAGGCUAGACAUGGUGCGCGUGAGCGCUUGAGAGAACAGUGUUUCCUUCGGGACAGCAAGCAAGGUGCUGCAUGGCCGUCGUCAGCUCGUGCCGUGAGGUGUUGGGUUAAGUCCCGCAACGAGCGCAACCCCUACUUUUAGUUGCCAUCGGGUUAAGCCGGGGACUCUAGACAGACUGCCUGCGCAAGCAGUGAGGAAGGCGGGGACGACGUCAGGUCAUCAUGGCUCUUACGUCUAGGGCUACACACGUGCUACAAUGGCCGGUACAAAGGGUCGCUAGUGCGCGAGCAGAAGCCAAUCCCAUCAAAACCGGUCUCAGUUAGGAUCGCAGUCUGCAACUCGACUCCGUGAAGCUGGAAUCACUAGUAAUCGCGUAUCAGCAAUGACGCGGUGAAUACGUUCCCGGGCCUUGUACACACCGCCCGUCAAGCCAUGGAAGUCUGGUAGACCUGAAGCUGGUGCUCGUCACCCCUUGAAGCCAGUUAGGGUAGAACAGGUAACUGGGGCU